rnacentral:rRNA from 1 species
AUGGCGUCUCCCCCCAACGGCGCCGCCGCCGCCUCCUCGGCCGCCGGGGGCGCGCCCCCCGUCGACAAGGAGGUCGACUUCGCCAACUACUUCUGCACCUACGCCUACCUCUACCACCAGAAGGAGAUGCUCUGCGACCGCGUCCGCAUGGACGCCUACCACUCCGCCGUCUUCCGCAACCCCCACCACUUCCGCGGCAAGGUGGUUCUUGAUGUCGGCACCGGGAGCGGCAUCCUCGCCAUCUGGAGCGCUCAGGCCGGCGCCAGGAAGGUGUACGCCGUCGAGGCCACCAACGUGGCGGAGCACGCCCGCGAACUCGUCCGCGCCAACGGGGUCGCCGACAUCGUUGAGGUCAUACAGGGCACCAUGGAGGACAUUGUGCUGCCGGAGAAAGUUGAUGUCAUUAUCUCUGAGUGGAUGGGCUACUAUCUCUUGAGAGAGUCCAUGUUUGAUUCCGUCAUAUGCGCACGUGACCGCUGGUUGAAUCCAGGUGGUGUAAUGUAUCCUAGUCAUGCUCGGAUGUGGUUAGCACCAAUAAGAAGUGGUUUGGGUGACAAAAAGAUGGAAGAUUUUGAGAUUGCUAUGAAUGACUGGAAUCAUUUUGUUGAGGACACCCAGGCUUAUUAUGGGGUCAACAUGAAUGCCUUGACAAAGGCAUAUCGUGCAGAACACGAGAAGUUCUAUCUCAAGUCUUCAAUUUGGAACAAUCUUCAUCCGAACCAACUUAUUGGGCAACCUGCUGUCGUCAAGGAGAUGGAUUGCUUGACAGCAACCGUUGAAGAGAUUCGAGAAGUUAGAGCACAAGUUACAUUGCCAAUCAACCAGGAUAGAACAAGGCUAGCUGCAUUGGCUGGGUGGUUUGAUGUUCACUUUAGAGGUAGCAAGCAAAACCCUGCAGUUGAGGAAGUUGAAUUGAAUACAGCCCCAGAUGAGAAUGGUGGGACACACUGGGGUCAGCAGGUAUUCUUGAUGACUCCAGCUCCGAGAGUAAAUGAAGGGGACAGUAUCAAUGUUUCUUUCUCGAUGGUUCGCUCGAAAGAGAAUCACCGGCUUAUGGAUAUGGAUAUCACCUAUGAACUGCACGAGGCAUCUGGAAGGAAGCUACCAGCAGUCGCAACCAAGAUUUUCUUAGAGUAG